GGCGGAGUGGCCGAGUGGACGAUGGCAGCGGUCUUGAAAACCGUCGGACGACGAGUCCCGUGGGUUCGAAUCCUACCUCCGCCG
rnacentral:tRNA from 2 species